GGGCAGCAGUGGGGAAUAUUGGACAAUGGGCGAAAGCCUGAUCCAGCCAUGCCGCGUGAGUGACGAAGGCCUUAGGGUUGUAAAGCUCUUUUGGCGGGGACGAUAAUGACGGUACCCGCAGAAUAAGCCCCGGCUAACUUCGUGCCAGCAGCCGCGGUAAUACGAAGGGGGCUAGCGUUGUUCGGAAUCACUGGGCGUAAAGCGCACGUAGGCGGGUUUGUAAGUUAGGGGUGAAAUCCCGGGGCUCAACCUCGGAACUGCCCUUGAUACUGCAAGCCUUGAGUCCGAGAGAGGUGAGUGGAAUUCCUAGUGUAGAGGUGAAAUUCGUAGAUAUUAGGAAGAACACCAGUGGCGAAGGCGGCUCACUGGCUCGGUACUGACGCUGAGGUGCGAAAGCGUGGGGAGCAAACAGGAUUAGAUACCCGGGUAGUC
rnacentral:rRNA from 1 species